rnacentral:rRNA from 1 species
UACGGAGGGGGCUAGCGUUGUUCGGAAUUACUGGGCGUAAAGCGCACGUAGGCGGCUUUGUAAGUUAGAGGUGAAAGCCCGGGGCUCAACUCCGGAAUUGCCUUUAAGACUGCAUCGCUAGAAUUGUGGAGAGGUAAGUGGAAUUCCGAGUGUAGAGGUGAAAUUCGUAGAUAUUCGGAAGAACACCAGUGGCGAAGGCGGUCUGCUGGGCAGUUGCUGACACUGAGGCGCGGACAGCGUGGGGAGCAAACAGG